CCAGGCUGGCCUUGAACUCAGAAAUCCCCCUGCCUCUGCCUCCCGAGUGCUGGGAUUAAAGGCGUGUGCCAUUACCGGGCCACAAUCUGUUUUUAUAUUGUAGUGUGUGUGUGUGUGUGUGUGUGUGUGUGAACACUAACAUGUUCUCCUUCCACCAAGUGGAUCCAGGGAUCAGAGCCGAGUUGUGUCAGGCUUGGCAGCAAGGGCCUUCACCUGCUGAGCACUCCAUUGAACCCCAGGAGUUGGGUUUAGUGACAUAAAGAGUUGGAGGCAUAGCAUGGGUGAAAGGAGAAAUAAAGGCAUUUCCCUGAGUAUUGCUGUUCCUCAGCCAUGCCUUAUCCCAUCUGUCCUCUUCCAACAGGUUUUCUGGAGAAUUUUACUCAAGCUUAAACUUAUGCUAAAUCUUCUCUUUUGAGCCAUGAGCAAGAUUAACCCUUCAGAUACACGCAUCCUUCUACAGGACCCCUGGCUACUUGAUCCAUACCCUCCAACUGAGUCUCUUCAGCUUCUCUAACCUUACUAGGUAACCCUCUUUCCUGGCCCUCAGCUCCCUUCUAACACUCUGCCAUUCUCUCCUGGUCUAGCUUUCACACAUUUUGUUAAAAUUGCGCGUUAAAUUUUCUUCCUUGUUAGACUUAUAACAUUCUCCACAUGGCAGGUGCUAGUCAUUUUUAUAUUUUCAGUACUUAAAAAGCAAUGCCUGAUGAUAGAUUUGCAUUGACAGUUCAUCAAGGCGUGUUCUUUAAUGGUACACACACACACACACACACACACACACACGAGCAGGCACAGGCACAUAGAAUGGAUGAAA